UGAAAAUGCCAUCAAACUCCCGAUUCAACUGUCAUUUUGGUUUGAAAAACGAUGGUGAGUAAUUUAAAACUACAUUGGUUUAUGUUUGGGUAAAAUACUGGCCCAGUUCCUACCACUGGUUUCAUUUGAUGAACUUCAUAACAAAGGAGACAUUUACACUUAUAACCAAAUUCGAAUAUGCUAUCGCCACUUUGAAGAAUGUUAUUGUUCAUAAAGCCACAGACUCACAGCUAAUGCAGUUCCAACACUAAAUAUUGGU